GUGGAUUAGAUACCCUGGUAGUCCACGCUGUAAACGAUGAUUACUAGGUGUGGGGGGUCUGACCCCUUCCGUGCCGCAGUUAACACAAUAAGUAAUCCACCUGGGGAGUACGGCCGCAAGGUUGAAACUCAAAGGAAUUGACGGGGGCCCGCACAAGCAGUGGAGUAUGUGGUUUAAUUCGAAGCAACGCGAAGAACCUUACCAGGUCUUGACAUCCAACUAACGAAGUAGAGAUACAUUAGGUGCCCUUCGGGGAAAGUUGAGACAGGUGGUGCACGGUCGUGGACAACU
rnacentral:rRNA from 1 species